GGAUGUGAAGGCGCUCUGGCUGCCACGUCUGUCACCCCAGUGAUCACCAGGGUAGAUUUACGCUGACCUGGCUGGCUAGGCCGGUGUCUCCUUUUUCCCUCACCAAUCCCCAUGCUUCCUUCCACCCUUUCAGAGGAUGCCCUCCCUCCUGAGCCAUGAGGAUCUUUCUUCUGCGCUCUGCUGCUAGAGCCUCCAAACUCUCUAGGUCUGUCUGUAGAACACAGAGUAGUCCAGCUUCCAAGACUCCAGACACAGCAAUGAGGUGCUGUAUAUGGCAGUCUGCCUUUCUUG
rnacentral:snRNA from 2 species